CUACGGGAGGCUCCAGUGAGGAAUAUUGCACAAUGGGGGGAACCCUGAUGCAGCAACGCCGCGUGGAGGAUGACGCAUUUCGGUGUGUAAACUCCUUUUAUAUGUCAAGAAAAUGACGGUAGCAUAUGAAUAAGCACCGGCUAACUCCGUGCCAGCAGCCGCGGUAAUACGGAGGGUGCAAGCGUUACUCGGAAUCACUGGGCGUAAAGGACGCGUAGGCGGGUUGGAAAGUCAGGUGUGAAAUCCUACAGCUUAACUAUAGAACUGCACUUGAAACUUCUAAUCUAGAGUAUGGGAGGGGGAGAUGGAAUUAGUGGUGUAGGGGUAAAAUCCGUAGAUAUCACUAGGAAUACCUAAAGCGAAGGCGAUCUCCUGGAACAUUACUGACGCUAAGGCGUGAAAGCGUGGGGAGCAAACAGGGUUAGAUACCCGCGUAGUC
rnacentral:rRNA from 1 species